UCUAUGCAGGAAGAUGUUCUUUGUUACAAAGAAUUAAAAGACAAUGAAAGAAGGAGAGGAGAAAAAAUAAAAGGAAAAGAGCUAGAUGUUUGUUUCUUAGACUCCAUGAUUAGAACAUAGGAAGAGGGUGUCAACUCCCACCAUAGUUUUAUCCCUUUUCUCUGUCCAGCUUCUGAAAGUUCUUUGUUUCACCAUGGCGACAAGAGUAUACAAAGCAUGUGGGUCUGGGUAUCUCAGAGCCAGGAGUAAAUUCUGAACUGGACAGAAGGAGGAAGACAAAGGAGCCUUUUCAACUUUUUGUCAGCUAGUGGGAAAAUGAUAGUUGAUUUGCUGUGAACAUUUAAAUGAACAGAACACCUCUGACAGUUCCCAUGGUUUGUUAAACUCAUUCACCCUGCCCCAUACCAAAUGGCCAACUCUGAACCCAUCGACAAGUGACUCUUGGAGCUAAUUCCAACUGCAUUUUGCUCUCUGUUGUACAGUAUUUCAGUGACAGAACCCAACACGUGUGUGUUUGGCGAGGCUGGCGGAGGUUAAGAAGGAGCUGAGUAUUAAGUUAAGGUGGCUGAACAACAAUGGAAAGAUGAUCCUUGGCCUUUUCUGAUCCCGGGAGGAGCUGGGAAUUGAGAACUCUGUGUGGUCUUAGAAAUCAUCUCCAGCUUCCCUCACAGGCUGCUGCUUCUUAGGAGAAUCCCAGGGAAAGGCAGCAGUGAAAUAGUGGGACCUCAAUCCACAGAAGCUGACGUCAGACCCAGGUCAAGAUACAAGAGAAACCCACUGAAAGCCAGUCCCCCAAAUUUUCCAGAGAAGCGGAUGGUUCACAGCUGAUCCAAGACCCCACCAAAUGCCCAAGAACUUUGAGGAGAACCAAGUGCUUUUGCAGAUUUCAUCUUGGCUCUGAUUUGGAGAAACACUGGAGGAUGGAGUCUCUGUUGAAAAAGCAACAGCAGAUCUCAGUUCCAGCAGCCCUGAGAUCCAGUCAAGAGGAUGGGGGGCCUGAGACUCAAACCAACAUACUUUUGAACUGGGACAAGUUGGAGAGCACCGGCAAACCCUCUUCUUGACAUUUAAAAUCUUGUAUCAUAGUGUAUAAGUUUAAAAACCAAACAAACACCCGAGUGUUACCUGUGUUUAUUUGUAAAGGAACAAUCCCCGGUUCUGAAAUGUUUGAUGAUUUUGCCUUGUUUAUGUCCCCUGUUUUUUCACCCAAGAAAUAUCAAAUAGGAAAUCACAAUAACAAUGUGAUUUUAUCUUGAAAACAGCUUUACAAAGGCCCUAACUUGGAAAAUUAGGGUCCUUGAAUGAAUUUUUUCAGGGUCCCUUGACAGACCUCUGACCGCAAGGAUCUUAUUAUUGUCUGGCAUAGGGACACCUGAAUGAAUUAAAGAAAGUCUCAGGAAGCUUUUGUUCAGGGAUGUAGUUGUAACUGAGCUCAUGAAAUAAAGUCAAUCUUGCCUGGUCCCUGGUCUACAAUCUUCCCUUAUCACUGCUAGCAGCUUACAACACAGCCAUAGGAGCACAAAUUAUACAAGCAAACACAAAAACAGACAUACAGUGAAAGAUCUCUUGGUAACUUAAUUUCCUGGCUCUGUACUGGUCUGACACGGUUUCUCCUGGCUCUCUUGAUCUCCAUCCCAUCAAUAUUUUCAGUUUUGCUGUCACAUUAUGAGAUGGCUUAGAACCAUAUAGUUCUGACUCCAUUUCUAGAAGGAAGCUCUUCACAAUCUCAGCAUGGCAGAGAGGCUGGUCCCUUGUCCAUAUUCUUGGCUGCAGCUCUUGCUUCUUGUUCCAUGGAGAAUCGCUUUACCUAUCUCAGUGUGCAACCUCUAGUCAUUGAUAUAAUCCUGUAUGAUCAGUCCUGUAAAUGAUUUGAGUAAUGCUGUUCCUAGGGAUGUCUAGCUGAAAACACAUACAUUUUCAGGCAUUAGCUUAUUUCCAGGAAAUGCCCGAGUCAUAUUUGGUCUGAACAUUCAAACUGAGCUGGGUUAUCAGCUGGAGUUUGAAAUCUGCUCAAACAUGCAUGGUAUUUCAGGUUUCUGUACGAUAUGUAAAAUGUUCUGCACGCUGUAUUAGAACGGGGCCCAAAUUGCUGUCUGUGAAAUGUGAUUUCUGUCCAGUCUUGAAGUUGGGGUGGUGGUAGAGUAAUUAUACAUAGAAAAAUUGACUGCCGGUCUACAGAACAUAAAGCACCGAGUCAGUAUGGUGACGUUUGAAAUGUCGAUUCCUAAGACAAAGCUGAAAGGCGAUAUCUGUAAGCAAUAACGGCUGCUCAGGCCUUCGCCAAGAUCCCGGCUCAUUUAAAAGGGUCCUUUCGGAAAGAGUCAAGAAUAAGGAGUGAUAGGAUUUAUGGAAAUUGUGGUUGUGCUGACUUGCAUUAUGUAAAUGUGCCUGCUUUACAAUAAAACACAUUUGUUUUCUUUGGCAA